AGGACGAACGCUGGCGGCGUGCUUAACACAUGCAAGUCGAGCGACAGUGUUCUUCGGAACAUAUGGAGCGGCGAACGGGUGAGUAACACGUGGGCAACCUGCCCCUAGCUCUGGGACAACUCCGGGAAACCGGGGCUAAUACCGGAUACGAUCUUCCAUGGCAUCUCGGAAGAUGGAAAGUUUUUUCGGCUAGGGAUGGGCCCGCGGCCUAUCAGCUUGUUGGUGAGGUAACGGCCCACCAAGGCGACGACGGGUAGCCGGCCUGAGAGGGCGACGGGCCAACGACGUGGGACUGAGACACGGCCCAGACUCCUACGGGAGGCAGCAGUGGGGAAUAUGCGCAAUGGGCAAAGCCUGACGCAGCGACGCCGCGUGAGGGAUGAAGGCCUUCGGGUUGUAAACCUCUUUACAGCAGGACGAAGCGAGAGUGACGGUACCUGCAGAAGAAGACACCGGACCAACGUACGUGCCAAGGCCAAGCCGA
rnacentral:rRNA from 1 species